UUUAUUCACAAAAUUGAAUACAUUAACAUGAUAAAUUAGUAAUUGUAGUUGAUUAGAUUACAUGAAUAAAAUAAUCAAUAAAAUCCUGAUAACUGCCAGUCCGACUCGCGAAUCGUCAGUUAGUACCUAGUACCAAGUUACAAUUACAAUAAGCAAAUACAAUCAAUUGAUUUAUUCAAAAAGGUGUUCACAAACCUUCAAGUCACCAGCGCAAUAACAGCAGAACAAGCAUUCGUGGAUCUCACAAAUGCUUGUCCUACGCGAGGUUUUAACUCGACAAUCCAUGCAGUAAAAACCAUAUAUUUAAGCUGUGUGUGGUUUAAAAUGCAAAAAGUUUAACAGGUAUGUCAGUAGUUUAUUGUAUUCAGUGGUGACAACCCUGUGAAAACCGGUGAAGUUUGCUUUGACUUUAUCUGUUUACUCAAAGGUAAGCGCGAGUGCACGCUUACUUUGUAAUAUCCCUACUAAUAUUAUAAAUGCGAAAGUAACUCUGUCUGUCUGUCUGUAUGUCUGUCACGCUUUCACGCUAGGAGUACUGGCUACUAUAAGUACUAGCUUAUAUUAUACUAGUA